UUUUUUUUGUGCAUAUUGGGCCGCUGGGCGCUGGGCUGGGUGCUGGCUUGCUGCUGGAACGGGCCUGGAGGCCUGCUGGCGCUGGAACGGGCCUGCUGCUGGUUGGCCUGUUGGCUGCCUGGCCUGCUAGACCUGCUGGAUUGGGCCUGGCCUGCUGCUUUUUUUUUUGCUGCUACUAUUUCUUUUUUUCUUUUUUUGGGCUGCUGGGUGAUCUGCUGUGGGUCGGGUCGGCUUUCUUGGGUCGGGUCGGGUCAGGUCAAGCCCGACUGUAAUGUAUUUCUUUUUUUUUUUUUCUUUCUCUCUUUUUUCUUUCUUUUUUCUCUUUUUUCUUUCUUUCUUUCUUCUUCCUUCCCUUCGACUUUGCUCUUCCUCGCCGUUGCCGCUUCCUCCGCCCGAUGCGACGGUAUGACGGUGGUUAAAAGAAUGCAAAGGCACGGCGGUGGGUACGGUGGUGGUGAAGGCGGUGGUUGGGGCCCUUUGGCUUGCUGCUUUUUGUUUGAUUUUUUUGCUGCUGUUUUCUUAGUUUUCUUUCUUUCUUUUGUAAAAAAUGAACCCCCCAUUUCUCUUCAAUCUCUUCCUUUUAAUUCCAAUUUUUGCCUCUUUCUUCUUUGUUUGCAGGUGGCAGAGGAGGGCAUCAUGGCCUAGGGAGGCUGCUGGAGUAGCUCGGCUGGGGAGGGGUAGGCUCGGCAGUUGCUUGCGACGAUUUGACAAGUCCAGAAGGACUAAAUUGCAUAGGAUGCAAAGUUUCUGGGGCAAAAGCAUAAUUUUAGCAAAAUAUGGGCCAAAAUGUAAUUUCUUGAGAGUUUAGGGGUCAAAGUGCAAUUUUGAGAAAGUUUAAGGGUCGAAAUAUAAUUUUAGAAAGUUUUAGGGUCAAAAUGUAAAUUUUAGAAAAGUUUGGGGUCAAAAUGUAAAUUUUGAAAAGUAUAGGGGUUAAAAUGCAAAAAAUAAAAAAAUUCUUUUUUUUUAAACACGAAAUUAAUCCCGGACAAAAUUUA